UAAUAAUAUGUUUUAUCCUGUUACUUUACAAAGUUCAACCACAGGCACUCGACGUUUUAAAUAUCUAUAAUAAAGAAAAAAAUGUCUUCCUGUAAAUAUGAUAUUCAUGUGAAUGUUAUGUUUACAGGAAGACAAUUUUUUUAUCAUAGAUAUUUAAAACGUCGAGUGUCUGUGAGUUCAGCAGCGGACAUCUUGGGGAGGUGAGACAGCUGGCAAUGUUGGGAUUGAUUACAUAUUGUUUAACGUCCCUCUCGAGAAUAUUUCACUCAUAUGGAGACGACACCACUGCCGGUGAAGGGCUGCAAAAUUUAGCCCUAUGCUCGGCGCUUAUGGCCAUUGAGCCCCACCUACUGUGACACGGGACCUCGGUUUUUGCGGUUCGCCCCAUUUAGUCGCCUCUUCCGACAAGCAAGGGGGUACUGAGGACUUAUUCUAACCCGGAUCCCCACGGGAAUGCUUUUAUAAGCGUUUUCAGAACCCAGGAAAAAAUCGGAUGGGAGUUCCCCGGUUCAUGAAAGUUUUAUUCAGAGAUUUGACACGUUUGUGACGGACAUUUGAAAAUGGCGAGUUCAUAAUUUUAUUCCUACCCCAUCAUACAAAUUUGAUGGUGUUGCACGUCUCAUGUUAAUUUCCUUAAAGGUGUUGCAUGAAAGAUCGAAAAUAUUAAGUUAUUCAAAUAUAUAUGAUAAAACCAAUUGGAAGUUUCCAACCUGGACACUGUUUAGUUUGUGAAUAUGUCUUGCAACAAACACGCCGAAUACAGCAUGUAAUACCUGUGCUUUAAUAGUCAAGGCUGCUAACGAGAACUUGUAUGUUUUUCUGAAUGAAAGUUGUUGACAAAGGUAUGGUGCCUUUUACGAAAAACCAUUGUGAACUUUGCAAAGCUUUGGAAGAAAAACUUUAAGGCUAAACAAUGUAAACAACUGUUAAACAGUUUGAGUUUAUAUGUAUUCCAGUAGCAAAUUGCUAUGUUGAAUCAAUUUUUACAUGUGAAUGUACUACGAAUAAUGUUGAACUUUAUCAAUGCGUAUUAAACUUCCCAUAUUUUGUUUUGUGGUAAAAGUAAUGUACAGUUGUCAAUUGUUGGUUGUAGAAACUAAUACAUACGAGUAUGAGAGCUUUUGGAUUGUAGUAGUGUAGAAUAUCAAAUAUUUGAUACACUCGUAACAUGUAACCGUAUACAUUGUACAAAUGUAUCUGAUACUCAGAAGGAAAAAAAAAGACAAUUUAAUUUUCACGAUUUCAAAAUUAUCUUUAGACUACAUGUAUAAUGUAUUGACACAUAAAAUGCAUUAGGCUUGUCCCUAGUACUGGGGAAUCCUUCGGUAUUUAAAUGGCAAAUACGCAAUGAAUAUAAAUAUGAAUGAAGGUCAGUUCUACGUCACGAGUGCUGGCACGGAGCUCCGAUUAGGGAAAAUUCCCGCUUCGUUGCAACACCCUCUUCGUGAAGAUCGGACAACAUUGAAUAAUUAAAAGCGUUUGGGCAGGGGUAUCCUUUAAAGAAAUGUGUCCUGCUGCAAAUAUCUAUGAAAACAUUUCCAGAACUCCUGUAAAAAAUUGAGCUGGAGUUGUCUAUACUUUAAAGCCCCACCCCCUCCCCCUCCGCAAUAUGACAUGUAUUUCGUGGAGAAGAGAAAGAGCGAUGUAAUCUAUCAUAUUUACAAAUGAAUGCUAAAAUUGGGUAACAGCAAGUAAACAAUACAUGAAAUUUCGAUAUACGGUAAAAUGUACUAAAUUGACGAGGUCUGUCCAUAUAGUUACAGGUACCAUGAUGAAGUUGAUUCAUCUAAAUUUUAUCUAGCGGGAAUUUUAUCACGUCCGAUCGGCCGUCUAUACCAAGAAAUUAAUUCGCCUGUGGUUAAAUUUAUGCGUCUCGGGGGGUUGGGUGCACGGUUAUUUCAAGCACUACAACAAGCUCAAGACUCUAAAUUUAAAAAGAACAAGAGAGUGAAGUUGGUUGAUAAUUAGAAAAAGUAGCUGACGUUUCAAGUGAAUCUGGAAUACAAGUUAAAAAAUAAUUUUAGUUUAAAGCCGCGUUCAUUUUUUCGAGGGGUUGUUUGGCUUGGGAAAGUGAGCAUUUCUAUAUGUUUGUGAGGGGUUGGUUGGUUGAAUAAACAAUGUAAAAUAGAAAUAACCUUAGUUGUAUUUCUGGUUAGACUAUUAAGACAUGAUUAAACUAUAUGAAAUUAAAAAUGUAAUCUUAAUGGGAUUCAAAAAUAAAAUUAUACUAUUCUUCAUUGCUACUGCGAUCGCAUGAAAACCAAUUCAAUUAUUAGCCGCGCAACACAAUUAAGAUAUAUAUAGCGUAAUAUGUACACAUUCAUAUAUAUAUAUAUAUAUAUAUAUAUAUAUAUAUAUAUAUAUAUAUAUACAAAUGUAUAUAUGUAUAUAUAUAUAUAUAUAUAUAUAUAUAUUUAUAUAUACAAUUGCGAUAUGUAUUUUGUAAAUAAUUGAUUAUUUUGUACAUAACUAUUUGAUAUCGCCUUCAAAACCAGAAAUCAAUAACGUUCUUUUGAGUUCGUUUUGAAGUGAUGCAUGACGUUGUUGAAUGACUUCGCGAAUUUGUUUAAAACUGCUGCUUUUUUGAUGGUUUUUAUCAAACUUUGACAUCUUUUUCUUUAAAAUACGAACUCGGUUACCCCAUAAUUUUUUUUUCAUAAAUAUUUUUCAAAUUGUUUUUGUUUCGCAUUGAUAUUAAUAUUAUCAAGAUGAACAGCACCGAAUUCUGUCUAUUUUAAGUUGAAUUAUGUAAUGAAUAAUGUCAAACACUAUCAUUUUCUAUAUAAUUCAAUGGAAAACAGUGACGCUACCGUUAAAACAAGGGUGUGUUGAAGACUUUUAAAAUUACUAAAAAAAAAACUGAUGUUGAACUAAAAACAAUUUUCACAGAGUAGUAUAUACAUUGUCAAGAUACAUCGCUAAAAUUUUCAGGUGGGGUUUUCGAGUGGGGAAAAAAGGUCUGUAAACCCGCGACCUACGUUAAAAAAAACGAUCUCCAUUAUAAUGAAAAUUAUGUAAACUUUCUAUGCAAUAGAGCAUUUAAUUCAAUACGACACUGUUUCGACCAUUGUUUCUAAAUCUACACAAACUAAAUUCUAAGUCAAAAUUACAACAAAAGGUUGCAAGAUGUAUGAAUUUUAAUUUUUUAAGUACUGUAAAGCUGUUUUAGUCAUUUAGAGUUUGGUAGAUAUCAGCAAAUAUGACUUUAGCACCUAGUGCCCUUUGAAAUAUUUAAGACAAUUCUUCAUCAGUAGAAUAAUGAUACUAGAUUUUGUAAUUUAAUGCAAGCAAUUCAUUCUAUUAAGUAUUUCCAUGUACCAACCCACGUACAAAGUAACCCAUCGAUAAAGAAAUUAAAAUCAUAUCUUAACAUCUAUCAAGCAAAAUUAAGAUAUUAAUGGUAAUCACGGUGUGUAAACUAGCAGCGAGGAAAAACCAACACAGAGAGAUUUAUAUUGACGACUGUCUUUGCAGAUGCAGGUAAGCAAAGUUUGAUUUGAUGUAUUAUUGAAGGUAAUCCAUAUUAUCAACUUAUUACUGUAUUACAUGUAUCUUACCUAUGCAUAGAGUUUUAUUUUCUUUCAGGAAAAGAACCGUUGAUGAGAUAUUGAGGGAAUAUCAUACUAGAGACACUUCUCCAAACUCUUCUUAAACAUCUGUUAUCAAAUUAAUUAUAUCUUAUAUCGUAGCAUCCACAGGCACUCGACGUUUUAAGUAUCUAAUAUUUCUCCGAAAUUUUCAAGCGAUGCAGCUGGUAAAAAAGAAAACCAAGAUGGCGGUGUGGUAUACCUUGUGAAUAUUAUGUUUACAAGAAGACAGGUUUUUAAUUAAAUUAUAGAUAUUUAAAACGUCGAGUGCUUGUGGUAGCAUCGUUUUAUGUAAAAUUUAAUAUUAACAUAUUUUCUAAAUAAAGUAAUAAAACCACACCAGGAGUUUUGUAUUUGAAAGGGUGUACUGAUUGUGAGAUUGUCACGUGAUCUAUAGAUUAAACACGUGAUUAAAGGGACAUGGACACGAUUUGAGCUGAAAAUUUUAUUUUUCCAUUUUUAUUGUUUACAAUGCUUAACUAAAGUAUUUCUAAUGGUCAACCAAAAUUUGAAUGUCAGUUGUUGAGUUACAAGCGAGAUACAGCACUCGUAAUUCUUUGAAAUGUAAACAAGGCUCAUGCCAUGUUUUUGUUUACAUAUGGAUGGUUCAAUAGAAAAUAACAUGUUUAAAACAAAAUUAGAUGUGCCAAAGACUAGAAACUCUUCAAUUGUAUUCAGAAUUAACUUGUGAAUUGAAAAAAAUCUGUUAUAAAAGAUACUUUUACUAGUAUAUUUAACCUAUGUAAACAAAAGCACGGCACAAGUCUUGUUUACAUUACACAGAAUUUUGAGCUCUGUAUCUCUCAUGUACCUUGACAACGGACAUUCAAAUUUUGCUAAACAUUAGAAAUACCUUAGUUAAACAUUCUAAACAUUAAAACUGGAAAAAUAAAAUUUGAAAAUGUUCAGCUCAUACCUUGUCUAUGUCCCUUUAUUCAUAUAUACAAAAUGAGACUAGAGACGACAUUCAACCAUUGCAAUUUAAGACCAUAAAACAUUCAGUGAAAUAACAACCAAAAAUAAUAAGCAUAUGAUGUACCUACAUGUAUUCUUUAUGGGAUUUCUUCACCACACACUUAAAUAUGUUUUUCACAAACACUUGCAUACAUGAUCACAUGAUGCCUAGAUGUAAGGACAAUUAUCAAUUUUCUGUAUUUGCAUGCUGAAAAAUCAGCAAAACUUAAAUGAGAUCCCGAUAAAGUGCAUGUUGUCAUGUUACACAAAAAUUCAUAAGAAUUUUUAUCUUUCAUUUUGAAUGAUUAGUUCCAACUGUGAAAAGCAUACUUUACUAGAUACAAAAGUUAAUAUCCGUUAAUUAAUGUUUUAAUCAAUUUGAUUGAAAAGUGAAGAUAAUUUAUAUUCAUGCAUGAUUUAACAUACCAAUGUACUCGACAAUCUAUUCAUAACUCAAGACAUAUACCCGUGACACAGACAGUAAUCAGGUAACGAGGGAGGUAAAAGUAAUAGUCAUAUCAACAGAAUUAUCCGGCACAUAAAAAUUAUACUUGUCAUAGAAAUUAACAUAUAUCAUAAGCUUGUAUAAUACUGAAGAUUAUUCUUAUUUGAUCUGUAUUAUAUUCGACAUUGCUGGAGGUAUCGUAUAACAACAAUCAUAAUAUUUACGACAAUCCCCCAAACAACACAAUCCAUCCAUUUUUAGACAUUGGAAAACCUUCCUCUCCUCUAUAAAAUAGAUGUCACAAGACGGCUUCUCGUCACAAAUGGAUACUAUAUUUUUGUAGUAUAUCAGAGAGAAUGACCUAGCAUGAGGAGGUGGAAUUUUUUCUUUCUUUCCUUUCUUGCUCUGUUCACCCUAGGUGACUCGGUCAUAUCUUGUAUAGAUACUUCAAAAGUAAACGCAUUUUAUCCGAAAACUUGCGGGAAAAGUUCUUGCUCCUUAGAACAAUUUUGUUCCGAGGAGGAAAGAUGUCUAUACUGCAGUAAGGAUAUAUGUAAAGGCCAAAGCAUCCCGAUGCAAUGUAUGUGGUUCUGUUUGACCAAAAAUACAGAUACCCGCCUUGCAGGGCGUAAUGAAACACAAUGCGACGACACAGUUCUGGAAGCAGAAAAAUCGCAUACCUUGACGCUUGGCCUACUUGUGGUAUCUUUGUCCAUAAAUGCAAUCUCGGUCAUUGCAUUUGGAAUAUACUCUCUUAAGCAUGGAAUAUGUUUUCGAACUAAAAGAACUUGUGAUGGACAUAUUCCGCGGCAGCAUAUACAUGUAGAAAGUGGUCAUAGGAGUCAAGGAAUGGAUAAGUUACUGGUGAGUGGUCAGGAGAAUUGCCAUCAAUGAGUCAGUGCCGUAAAGUGUUCUCUUCCUGUUCAUUGUCGUUAAAGUAACAAGGACAAGAAAGUAACAUCAACCUACAAGUACUUUUCAUGAAAUCGCAAAAUAAUGACUUGUUAGUUGGACUAAAAAGGAUGAAUAUACCUUCAUGAACAUUGCGCAGUGGGAAGAUAUUUUAAGUGUUAUAGAAUAGACACUACAAUUUUAAUUUGUGAUAAUGUUCUUUGUGUAUCAUUGUUCUCGCAAUAAAAUACAAUUUAAAGGAUACAAUCAUUAAAACUGUUUCAUUUUUGGGACAUUCCGAGAAAACCAAGACGUAAUCCAAUAUACACAGAGUCUACCGUGUGGAGAAUUUACAGAAGGCAUUGUCCAGGCCAUCAUCGAAAACCCACGAUCGGUCGUAUGGCUUGAGGAAUGUGUAUCCUUGACCUGGCCAAAGGUCAUUAGGAAAUCGUAACUACGCUUAAAAUGUUCAGUUGUACAUCAGAUUUUGACAUAUACAUGGGACGCAAGGCUGCUUUGACCACUUAAGGUGUCAUGAUCCUAUACCAAGGUUAUCUAGACAAUUUCAAGGUUACUUGAGAAGUGAUUGUUGAUCAGGAAUAUUCAUUCUAAACUCACCGCCGCGGUAGUCUAGGGGUUGAGCGUUCGCCCCGCAUGCGGAAGGUCGGGGGUUCGAAUAUCGGCCGUGACAUACCUAAGACGUUAAAACUGGUAGUGACAGUUCCAUCACCAAAUGCUCGGCAUCAGGUGUGAAUGUCACGGGUCCUCGGAGAUGACCUUAAUAACGGAUGUACUGUGUCACAGUAAGUGUGGCACGCCAAAGAACCCUCACUGCUCACUGGCCGUAAGCGCCGCGCAUAGGCCUUUUGAAGCCCUUCAUCGGUCUUGGUGACUUCUCCAUGUGAGUGGAAAAGUUACGAGAGGGACGUUAAACAAGAUACAAUUGAUUACUCAAUCAUUCUAAACUCAAUUUUUCACGUUUCAGCCAUUUAGCACUAUGAUAGGGUCGGCACAUCUGACCCAAGAUUUUUAUUUAAGAUAUUAAACUUUCACUAAGAAAUAUCUCUUGAUAAAACUCGUAACCCUCGUCAAGGGGUCAUGACCAUCCUCAUUUUGGCAGAAGUCUUCAUCUGUACGCAAUGAUUUCUGGAUAGUAUGAGGAAUAAUUUGAGUUUUAGCAAUGAAACUUCACGCGAGAAACCUGUCACUUAAGGAUAGUUGUAAUUCUUGAUUUUGUUUCGGUUAAAACGCCACGGUAGAUAUAACAUCGUUUCCGGAUAAUAUUUCGCAUACUUUUUUUUUUUAAGCUUCAUACAGAAAAAAUUCAUAUGAAAAGGGACAAUGUCCUCAGGAUCUAAUUUUUAAGGCGAGAAGAAUUUUAAAAGGUCACGAGAUCACGUGUGGUAAAUAUAAGAAUCUCAAAUACUAAAUGAGCAUUAUGCUAUGUCGUGCGAUACGUUGCGAUAUCUUAAUCACGAACCGAUGCGCUAUGUACCAAUAGGAUAGGAUUGUGAUAGCGAUGCCAUUUACUAUCAGGAUCAUUGAUUGAUUGUUUUGAUGUUUUCCGCCACACUCAACAUUUUUUCAGUUAUCUGGUGGCGCCCAGUUUUUGUUGGUGGAAGAGAGAACCCAGAUACAAUGUACCUGGGAAGAGACCACCGACCUUCCGAAAGUAAACUGGGAAACUUUCUCACUUACCUGCGCGAGAGAGAUUCGAACCCGCGCCGUCAGAGGUGAGAGGCCGUGUGAUUUUGAGCGUGAUGCUUUAACCACUCGGCCACGGAGGCCCUUCUAUCAGGAUCCAUGGUGAUUACGGUUUGUUCUACGUUGGACCCCUAUAUAUUGAUCAUUGACUUAGAUUUUUUUUAAACAUAUAGAGAAUGAACAAUACAACCCACAGCCACUCAGAACGGCAGAAGUUAAUUCACAAUAUAGCAACAUAACGUGGUGUUUAUCUUGUAAAAAUUGAUGAUCACGAUUUGAGAGCACGAUUAGAUGUGCUUUGAUACGAUGCAGUACGAUGUGAUAGGAUUAUAACGACUGAACGUUAAUCGUGUUUAUCGUUGAAAUUUUUUGGACAUUAAAAAUGUUUUCUACGAUCUACACGAUUGUCACAAUUGACGUCAAGAUAAGAUCUCGUGUCAUUUCAACUAUAAAAAAUGCAUCGAAUUAAGGGGAAAAGUUGAAGCGGGAGAGAAAUUCAGUUUAAUCCAUUCCAAUCGCAAUAAGCGGCCGGAGUUCAGGCAAGAAAUGCCGAAUAUCACUUUGUGUGACACUGGUCUGAGAUUCGGAAGUACCCAGCCUCGAGUCCGGCUGAUACUACCGUUGUAUCUGUAUAAAUCACGCCAACGCUAAAGGAAACUCGGGUGUCAUUCUUUACUAAUAAAUAUAUGCUCCAUACAUGUAAAGAGACAACAGCAAAGCAUAUUCUUCUCGUUUUCAAACUCAUGGAAAAUAUGUCAUUUCACCCAUGUUCAUCUUAGCCCAGCAAACCAGCAUGAUGAAGAUUGAUCAGGUCAUCUUUUAUUGCCGGAAUUUCGGAUAGUGCUGAAAAUGAAAUAAAAUGGAUUUCUUUAAA